UCCAACCUGGCCUUGGACACUUCCAGGGAUGGGGAAGCCACAGCUUCUCUGGGCAACCUCUGCCAGGGCCUCACCACCCUCUCAGGGAAGAAUUCCUUCCCAGUAUCCCAUCUAUCCCUGCCAUCUGGCAGUGGGAAGCCAUUCCUCCUUGUCCAGUCACUCCAGGCCCUUGUCCAAAUUCCCUCUCACAGUCUCUUGUGGGCCCCCUAACCAAGGGAAUGUGCAUCCCAGCUGAUGGGAGCCUCCAGAGACACAUCUCAAGUUCAGCUGAGAUUUUCCAGUGAUUUGAAAGAUUCUUCCCAGAAAACAUUCCCUGAUACACAAGCACUGCCUGGUCACCAUUGGCAGCACCUCUGAGUCAGCCACAGCCAUUCCCUCACUCCAAAUGCGGGAAACACUUGGGGAAGAGACUUGCAAAAGAAAGUAAAAAGCUUUUAAAAAUUAUUGGGAUUUAUGUUUUGUUGUGAUCCCUCUCCUGGUUCAACAACAGCCAGGAGCAGCCGGCCAGUCUGCGCCGUUAAAUGUCAGGAUGACUCAACUGGUGUUGGGAUCUGCGGGGUCAGGAGGGGGCGAGUUCAUGCCCGGGGCAUGAGGCUGCUGGAGGUGAUGUCCUGGCCAGGAGAUGAUCCACCCAGCUCCCUCCUGCCUGCCCUGCUCACUGCCCACUUGGCAGCUGCAGGACCCUCGGAGCUUUUGGAAGGACAUUGGGAUAACCUGUCCAUCCCAGCAGCGCACUUGCCCUCCUCAAAGCCAGCUGUUGUACCCAAACACACGGGUCAGCCUCAGAAAGCCUUCCAGCUGUUGUUUCCCCUUGCUCUGACUAUUUAAUUUAGUGCCUUUUAAACUGAAUUUUAUUUAGGUUUCCUCCCAUAACAACCCCCACCUAACAAGCGUUGCUGUCCCCUGGAUAUCCCAGGAUCUGCGGGACACCAGGCUUUGCUGGAGCGAGUGUGAGGAGGAGCUUUGAAAGCAGAGCUAUUGAUUAAAUAAUUAAAUGGAUACAAAUGAGCUUUCUUGGGAUUUGUUUAGCUGGUCCUUAGAUGGAGGAAAAAAAGUAGGUGUCCUGAGAAGACCAGUGUUCUGCCUGCUCUCAUUCCUGCUUGGAAAGGGUCUUCGGAAUUUCUCACUGCAGGAAAUUGCAUCACCAUCAAUAAUUUAUUCAUCUUUCUUUAGCAAAGAGACCUUUUCUCUUGGCAUUAGAGGCCUGUCCUCUGGCAAACCCAGCUCUCUUCCCCAGCCCUGCUGCAGAUUUACCACCAAUUCCAGGUUGGAUUUCUCUGGCUCCCACUGAAAACAGUCUCAGGGUCCCUCCAUGGUGAGGAGAUAUCUGGGGGUCUCAUGGCUCUGCUCCCAGUGCAGGAGAUGCAGUGGUUUUCCAUGGCAGCCCUGUGCCAUUCCCCUGGGUCUCUGUGUCUCCCAGGAGGGCAGGGAGCCUCUGGCUCCAAGAGUGUGGUGGAUGCACCAGUUCCUCUUGCAGUAACGUGAAUAUGAUCGAUGAGAUAAUGCUGAAUUUAUGCAGCAGAGCUUUUAGCAGCUUUUGGAGAAUAUGUGUGUUUGCUGAUGAGGUCCCUGUGUGCCGGGGCAGUGCUGGAGGCACCGCCUCACAUUCUUGGAGGUGCUUCAGGAAUCACUGGGCACCGGAGGGUCCAUGGAAAAGGUGGAUCGCAGCCCUGGCACGCCACAGCAUGAGCUGGAGCUGUGCUGACACUUCCCACAGCCCGGAUCUGGCCGGUCUCCCCGGGGUUGGCUCUCAUUUUGGGUUCACCUGUUAAAAAGUGAGUCUCAGACACCUCGUGAAAUACGAUUGGUUUUGUCUGAACACGCACUCUUGCCUCUAAAGGUUCUUCGGAAUUCUUUUUUAGCAUUAAAAAUAGAUAAAAUGGGAAAAAACUGCAGAGAGAUUUCAAUAUUAAAGCAGGGUAAUUCCUACUGUCUUUUCCCCCUUUUUUAAUUUUACUUUGUGCUGAUGGGAACUGUUUGGAAAAGAGAACUGGAAAAGUUAAUCUUUGAAUAGCGAACGUCCCUGAAGGGAGAAAGGAGGGGGGGAGAAAGGAAGAAUGGUCCUUUCAAAGAAUCAUUGACCUAAAUUGCACUUUAAUGCACAUACCACGCUGUCCACACCACCUACGUGUCUCCAGGAAUCCUGCUCAAUAACAAGCACUAAAUGUUUAGUCAUUUCCUGCAGCACGUUUGCAGGAGCCGGUGGCUCCGCGCUCGCAUGUGUCAGUGCUCGGCGGCUCCAACAGUUGGUUUCCAUAUCAGCAGCUGCUGGCUUUCAUCUCCUGGUGGGAAAGGUGCCACGGCGAGCCCAGGUUAAUGUUUCAGCCGCCUUUCACAGCAGUUCCAGUGAAGGGCCGCGGUGACGUGGUGACACCUCGCCCCAAACCUGGUGUUUCAACCUUCCUGUGGGAACGCCUCGCUCCGAAACCAAGCGGGCUGGGCAGCAGGAGAGGGGUUUUUCCUUUCUGUAGUGGGGCUUUCAAGGAGGUUUUAUUUCUGUAUUUAUGAAUCCUGUGAGUUUAUGGGCUGGGUGGCAGCGAGUCGGGCAGGAAAUAGCAGAGGCUGCUCUGACCUGUGCAGCCCUGGCUCGCUCGGCCCCAGCUGCCUGCCAGGGAUCCCGGUGUGUCCUGCCUGCUGCCAGUCCCGGGGCCCCACUCGGGGGCUUGGUGUCCCCCACAUCCACCCCGGUUCGCUCCCUCCUGCACGGAGGUCAAAGCAUCAGGAAUUUACACGGGCAGGUGGUGAUAGGACAAGCAGGGAUUAAAUUAGAUAUCAGGGAGAAAUCCUUCCCUAACUGAGGGAGGUGAGGAUGGUGAGGUCCUGGCACGGGUUGCCCGGAGAAGCUGUGGCUGCCUCAUUCCUGGAAAUGUCCAAGGCCAGGUUGGACAGGGCUUGGAGCAACCUGGACUAGUGGGAGGUGUCCCUGCCCAUGGCAGGGGGUGGCACUGGAUGAACUUUAAUGUCCCUUCCAACCCAAACCAUCCUGUGACUCUAUUAAUUUUGUAGCCAUCAGCCCAGCUGUCGCUUAUCCCUGCAGGGAUAUGAUCUUACCCAGAGAGUUUUGCAGUUCCUGCACUGGCCUUUCAGAUAGGCAGGGGGCUGGUUUCUGCCCAAGGAAUCGAGGGCUGGAUCCUCUCACUUUUUUAAGUGUCUCUCUUCAAAAUGGUGGCUGCUUCUCACUUGAAGUUCAUGGGAACAGAUGGCUGGAUCUCAGAGACAGGAGUUACAAGCUAUAGGGUGUUUUUCACCACAUGUCUUGCUAGUUUCCCUCCUAAAAAAAAAUCUGUGUGAGAGCCCUCCCAACAUGACAGGCCAAAUCUGACCGUCUGUUAAGUUCACUUUAUAUAAUCUCAGUAUGGAACCGAGUGGCCUUUAACAAACCAGGGAGGGCUCCUCGCUGGGAGCUGCCGGAGCCCGGCAGGGCAGCGUCCUGCAGGACCACCAAGCAGAGCCAAGCAGCACCUCUGUGCUUUUCAGGUCUAGAGGGGAGGGGGGAUGUGUCCGAAGCACCUCUCCCGUGGGCUCUGCGGGGCCCUGGUGACUCGUGUGCGUGCUCAGGGCACGGGGAGGGCUCGUGGCACCGCGUGUGCCCGUGGCACGUCCCACCAGCGCCGUGGGGCUCAUCCAGCAGAGAGAACACGCCGAGAUCUCACAGCUCGAGUAAGAGCAUAUGCUCUGGGAGACCUCGCUACGUUGCAUAAGCCUCCCCAUCACAGGAGCUGGCUGAGCAAGCACAGCACAUGAGUCAACAGCACAGCGAGACUUGUGCCGUGGGAGUCACACCUACUCCUGGCUGCAGAAUUAUCCAGAGAAACAGAAGGUUAAUAGGAACAAAAUAAAGACUAAGGAACCCUUAAAGGUUAGUUGCAGGGUUUGAUUCCACUGAAAAGAGAGGGGAAAAUGGGUCAAGCCGAGGGGGAGAGAGCAGGGUAAUGCAAGGCUGUGGUGUCUGUCUCCUAAGGAGACAGUUCAGUUUGGAUCAGUAAAAAUGCGAUCAACAAAACAUUUAUAUUUUGAAAUGAUCAAAUUUUAUUAUAUAUCAAAUUAUCUAGUUCUGGAUGAUCUAGAUAAUGAGGGUCAUUAUUGAUUGCAGAAAGAAAAAGUCACUUCACUAAUGAGAAAGAAUGUGGAGUGAGCUCCAGGAUGCUUGGGAAAUAUUAACACUGCAUGGAAGCAGUUCUGCAAGGCAGGGAAUGACUCCCCAAAGCGUGUAAAUACAGGCAAAGUGAGCACCUGACCCGGAGCAUCCCUACCAACAACACAUUCCUUGCCUUUGCUUCUGCUCCUGUAGAUCUUUAUUUUAUGUUGGGACAGUUUAGAACUUAAAGCCAAAGAAGGAGCAGGUGUGUCUGUGGCACUCAGAGAGCCUGAGCAUCUCUGGUCCCUGAGGAGCAGAGUCGUGCCUGUGCAGCACCAGGGCUGGGAUCCACAGAGGAGGGACAGCGGGGCUGGGCUCCCCAGUUCUCACCAGUUUGGCCCCAGUUUAGUGCCUAAGGACCCCUAAGGACCUGGGGCUGACUGGUCUGCUGCAGUUUGCAGUUUGAAUCACCACCCUGUUUGGCUGAUCUGAUCCAAAGUCCACUGCAGCCAGUGAAAAGCCUCCGAGUGGGCUCUGGGGCGGGACAGGAAACAGGAAUAUCCUGAAGAGACAAAUCCACCAGGUUUCAUUUUAUAAAGAUGCUCCACUGAGUACAACUUAUCCUGAUACUGAAUCCUGACCGUAGGCUGGGGUCAGUUUUCAUAUAAAUUAAUUUGGGGCACUGCAUUUGUUCAAGAAUGCAGAAAGGCCUUGCAGGCCUCAGAGGAAAUAAAAUAGGGAACACAGAAGGUUGUAUUUAGUUUCUAGGAUGUUAUCUUGUUUUUUUUCCCCUAAAACAAGACUUCCCAAGGCCAAAGCUGGUAUUGCUCACGGUGCAGACUUGCCUGCCUGAGCUUCACCUCAGUCCCAAAUCUGUGCUGCAAAUAUCAGGGAUUACCAGGAUGGGAGUGAGAGCUCUUGAUGGCUCCAAGCUGGUGAUGGAGCUCAUGGCAGAGCCCCACGCAGGCUGCCCGGGCAGCGUGUGCGUUGUUGCCCUGGGUUUUGGCUCUUCUCCACGUACCAAGGUCUAAGUGGAGCAUGUCCGUGGGGGAGGUGUUGGGCAACACAAGUGGUGUUUCAUCCCUCGCUCCCGGUGCUCUUGCAGAGGGAAAGAUCAUCUUGUGAUCAAGGCACAAGACCAGGAGUCAGGAGAUCUGGGUUACUGCAGACUUUGAUUUGCCAAUGUGAGUGAAGAGUCCUGACACCUCUGGAGGCAGAGGCGCUCCGGGAAUGUGCAGGUUCCUUCUACUGCAGAGUAUUUGGGGUUCUUUGUGCUGUUCUUGUGGAGGGAAUAACUGCUCAAGGCAUUUAGCAAAAUAAUUUCCCUGUGAUGAACUCUGCUGUGAUGGAACCAAGGAGCAUUUAGUGGCCUUAGCCUGCAGUUUUGGAAAAUGGCCCUCAGGGCCAAUGGAUAAGGGGCAACAGAGGGAGGGAGGUGAAGUAGGUAUGAAUAGUCAGUCUCCAUGUGCAUCCCAAGCAAGGCCAGUGCUUGUCCCACCAUAAAACCCUGCCCUGGAGGUGAGGUGUGUUUGGGCUGAGGUGUCACCCCGUCCCUUUCCCUGACUCCAGCCGUGGUGAUGAAGUGGACAACACGCCUGGCCAAGCUUGUCCUCUGACGUAGAGGCCACGGGGCAAGGGAAAGGUUGAUGGAGGUCCUUCCAUAGUCACUGGGGAAUGACAGGACUACCAGGCAAGGUCUCUCUUCCCCACACAGACCAGGGUGAGGGGACCCCAGCUCACACAUUUGGGUGCAGACCCGGAGGGUUUGGGUCCCCGGGAGAGCCGAGCGCGGUGUCUGCGCGCGCUGCCGAGCACGGGCUCUGUGCUGCAUCGCUGGCAACGAGCCUCAGCACAGGCUCUGAGCUCCAUCCCUGCCUUCCCCCAGCAUCUGCCAUGGGGCCUGGCACAGGAGACUGCUCAGCUUUUCCUAAAUCUGGUUGAACCGUCUCCUGGGAAAUAGGAGUCGACUCGCUCGCUCUCCUGCCUGCAUCAGUCCCAGAGUGGCAGGUGGGGACUCAAAGUCUCUCUGUAGCUGUAGACACACAGAGGAGCUUUCAUUCCCAAAAUGUGCAGGGUUUGAAACGUUCAUGGGGUGGAAAGGAUGUUUCCUUAUAGGGUCAAAAAAAGGAUAAAAUUCAGUAAAUCAGAUUGGCUCCUCUGUGCCUUCUUUUCAGUAGCAGACUUGAGGAGCUGGAAAAGGGCAGAAAGGAGGGAGAAAUCCCAGCUGAGGAGGUUCUGUGUGGUGUGUCAAGGUGGUGGGAGCCUGAGCAGAGGUGCCAGUGUGGCAGAGGGGUGUGUGUGCUGUCCAUGGAGCAGUGGCUGUGGGCUCCCCCCCUACACCACCCGGCUCCAAACCACCGGUCUUGUGAUUGCUUUCUUUUCUUUUUUAAUUCUUAUUAUUUCAGUCCCAUGAUUUUGUUUUCGCUGUUCCUAAUUCUUUGCCUUGGGGAAGGGAGGCAGGGAACAGCACAGGAUUUGUACUGCUGUGGUUUUCUGGGUGUCGUGGGCCAUAAUGUGACACUGAAGUGACGAGGCAUUGCCAUCCAGGCUGCAGAAAUCACAUUUUUGAUGGAAGGGGGGUAAUGCAGUUCUGACGAAGCUGUGGGUUUGCUUCUAUUCAUUUCACUAUUUCACUUCUUUCCUUAAUUUACCCAAGCAGUGAAAACCCAUCAAUCAUCAGCCCAACAGCAGAACUGUGGUGUGGUGUCACUUCAGUGCAGGUGCUCAGACAUCCUGGUGGAGCACAAGACUGUGCUUGGCCAGGGACAGGUAAAGAUUAAGUCCUGCAUCAAGACGAGUUUCCAGAAUUGAAGGGGUUAUAUUAUUUAUACGUAAUUUUAAUGGCACUGAGAGAUAGUUUUAAACUUACACAGACUUUUCAUCCUAAAAAGUCCCAGAGCAGAGAAUUUGAUACAGAAAUUGUUCAUGGAGCUAAAAUAUGAUUGAGGGAUAGUACCGGCAAUAAAAGCAAGGAAAACCUUUAUAUUCUGAAUGCUGAGGGAGGGGGCAGCUGGACAGACGUACAUAUGUACACACCCACGUCACACGCCCUCGUGAGAGACACGAGGAUGAGCAUUUCUUUCCAAAUCUCCUCUGUAAGCCAUCCCAGCAGUGCCUCUGUGUGCCCACUGGACACGGUGCCCACUCACUCUGCUUCCCCAUCCCACUUCCCCCGGGAACAGGGGUGCUGACCUGGAACCCCCCUCCUCUGAGUCACUGCUCUCCUCCCCAGCUGUCCUCACUACAUUGCCAGGUCAGGCUCCAGGGGUUUUCCGUGUCUUGCAAUUGGAAAGAAACAAGACAGGACAGGGGUGGCAAGGGAUGAUGGGUCACCAGUGUCCCAUUGGGGAUGUGACCUGUCCAUCACCUCCUGCCAGCCCUGGUGGCACCAGCACAGCUGCGUGGCAUCCCUGUCCAGGAGAGCAGGGGUCACCAUUACCUGCAGCUCAGCAACAACGGGCACCUCAGCAGGGUCCCGUCAGUGCCCAGAGUGCUGGGGUUGUGUUUGAGGAGACCGAGCGAGUCCAGGGUGAGGCUGCAGCUCUGGCACACUCCAGCUCAUCUCCCAAAACCCUCCUCACCACGUUUCUCAACAACACACAGAAUGGAAAUAGAAGCUCCUGCCAGGGAAUUUCCACCCCAAAUCGGUACCGUUUGAGUAGUGGGAAUGAGACGCCAAAAGAGUUGAUUUUUUCUUUUUUUUUUUGUAUUUCAUUUCUCUGGAAAGUUGGCUGUGUGGAUGUGUGAUGUGGUGGUGGGUGUGGUGACCCCAGCACAGCACAAACUCUUGCUCAUGGGCGUUGCUAAGUGAUGCCUAAAACGCCAGCCAUGGCUGGCCCAGGGAGAGCCGGGAGCGCUGGAGCGAGGGCAGGACGUGCUUCCAGAUUGUUUCAUGGAUAAAGGAGGUUUCGGAGUUUUCUGUGCAAACAAACAGAAUUUAUCUGCAUUAAAAAAAAAAACCAACCCAACCAUAAGAAAACUAAACCAAAGAUCUCCCACUAAGUUUCUGAGGAAGUUACUUUCUGAUGGAAAUAGUUUGGUCUCCAAAAUACAGGCGGCUCAGCGGCUCGGGGGAGGUCACGGCAGGCAGCUGCGCCGGUCCUGUUACUCAGCGCUCUGGCAGGGGGGUUGCUGGAAGUCUGGGGGAGGUUUCACGAUGGAAGAUUGGGCUAAAUAAAGGUCUUCCACCUCCAUAAUUCUGGCAGCUGCAUUUCAGCACAGUAUUCAGUCACAGUUGUGACACGGAGUCUCAGAUGGAGAAGUGAACCUCAAACCUCGCUCGGUUUGGUGACGCUGGGUUGUAGCCAAAGUGAUUAAUGGAGCAACCUCUGCUCAGGUGGGUUGUUCCUGAGGUCCCUGUACCUCUCUGUGAAGAUUAUCUGGAAUGAGUCCUGGUCAUGGUCAGCUGGCAGUGAUAACAUUCAUUUUGUAAAAUAUCCGUCUCCAGGAAGUGCCUUUUGCUGCACAUUUGCACUGAGAGGGCUGGAGCCUGGCAAAGCCACAGCACCGGGAUGUCCAGCCCAGCCCUGUCAUUUCCAGUGAAACUGGGGUUGUCAGAGGCAUUGAGCCAGUCAUGUCAUGGUCUGGGCAUCCUGACAGCUCCUCACUGCUGGCUGGGAACAAUACCACUGUUCCCCAGGGAUGGCAAACCAAAAUCAGUGUAUUUUAGUAUUUCCGAUGAGUUUUGAAAGAGUAGCCAAAAUUGACAGGCUUCAGGCAGCUGUUUAUAGAAUCAUGGAAUAGUUUGGGUUGGAAGGGGCCUUAAAGAUCAUCUCGUUCCAACCUCUUCCCAUGGGCAGGGACACCUUCCACUAGCCCAGGUUGCUCCAACCCCUGUCCAACCUGGCCUUGGACACUUCCAGGGAUCCAGGGGCAGGCACAGCUUCUCUGGGCAACCUGUGCCAGGGCCUCAUGACCCUCACAGGGAGGAAUUCCUUCCCAGUAUCCCAUCUAACCCUGCCCUCUGACAGUGGGAAGCCAUUCCCCCUUGUCAUGUCACAACAGGCCCUGCUAAAAGGGGGAUGCCAUGGGAGGUUUCACUUCCACGUGCAGUUCCUCAUUCCCUGCUGUCUCACUGUAGUUAUCAGUGGGGACAGGUAUCAGCCCCCCAGUGACCCCCCCCAGCUCCAGAGCUCACCUGGGACUCCCACCAUCCAGGCUGUGCCACUGAGAGCAGGGAGUGUUGGGGCUGAGAGGGGUUAAUGGGGGCAGGAGGAGGUAACUGGGCUGCUCCAGGAAGGGAAUGCUGUGUAUGGGGAAGAGGAAAACCCAUCUGGGAUGUAGGAGAGACUUGGAGGUUGUUCCUCUCAUCAGGAGAAAUCAGGAGAGCAGGACAGCAGGCGAGGUCUGACCUUCUGGCUCAGGCCUUCACAGGGAGUUGCUUGUAGGGUGGACUUCCUCUGGGAGGAAGGCAAAAUGAGACGUGGAAACCAUCCAAACCCUCUGCUGAGAAAGAGGGUGAGGCCAGACAGGACUGAUUUGGGACUUUAUUUGGGUGUGCUUGGAAUUGCCUGGGCUGGGGAAGCACCGGGAGCCGGAGGACGCAGAUAACCUGUGGGUGAAUCACCCACCCACACCUGCAGAACGCACCUUGCUGGCUGCAGAGGCAGCAGCCUGUGCUGAACUGGGCUUUUUGGGGAUGUAAAUAGGAAAUGAGCUCUGCAGCUGAGCCUCCGCAGGCACUGGGACAUGAAGGGCUCUGCCUCUUCCCACACCACACUCGGCUCCGGAGGGCGGGAGGAGGCUCGGCCAGCACAGUCACUUCGUUAAUAAGCAAAUGUAUGUGGCUCCAUAGGGCUUGAAUAACUUCGGGAAGCAAAGCAGUUUUGUGGGCUGAGUCCUUUGCCUGCUCUAAAUGACUAAAACUAAUUGGUUAUAUUUCACUGACAAAGUCACAGAGCCCACAUGUUUCCGUAGAACACACCUGACUCCGGCUUGUAAGGAAUGAGCCUGGAUGCAUCGGCUCUCCCUGGGGAUGGAGCCCACUGACUGCUUUUCCAGGUGCCUGCACACCUUGCUGUGGCUGGGAAAAAGGCUUGGAAAGCCUGAAAGCUGCAGCCUCUGGCUGUGGGAAGGAGCCAUGAGGAAAAGGGAUUGUUCUGGGGCAGUGUCAGCUCCAGCCUGCGCUGGGCUGGGCUCGGGGGGUGACCGUGAGGGGCCCCGAUGGCUCCAACAGCUCUGGAGCCCACAGGGGGGGUUGGCCCAGGCCACCAGUGCAAGCCAAGGGACCCUUUUCCAUGACAACAUAUCAUAAGGGGGUGAUUCAGCAGCUUUCUAGAAAUAUGAGGUUCUAAAAGAAAUAAAGCAGGAAGUUUUCCUUCUCUGUCUCAUUCUACAUGAAGAAAUAAGGCAACUUGGGUUCUCCCUUUAGGGAACAGGGAAAUUUGGCACCAAAAAGCCCCUCCCUCCUUCCCACAUCUCUGCACCACAUGUCUCCACUUCACUACUCACUUGUUUUGACAUAAAGUACUUUCCCCCAAAAAUAUUAGUCACAGCUUUGGCUACAACCAGCCAACUCUUAACCUUCCUCAAAAUGGUUUGAAAUGGGUGACGUUGGCAACGUGUGAUGGCAGAGGGGAGGGGUGGGUGGAUUUAGCGUUUCUGGAAGGUUCUGCUUCGAGGUUUGGGAGCCCAAAAGCUGCCACCUGCUGUGGUAAGGGAAUCCCAAAGGACCUGCCAGCAGAUCCAAGGAGCUUUGGUGGGUCUCUUGAAUAAGACACAGUGUGAGGAUGGAAAUCCAGGAUCUGUGGGAAUGGCAUGGUGGGAUGAGCAGGGGUUUUUCAAUGGAAGGUGACGAGUACAGUGUGAAGUUUAGUAAUCUGUGUUUAUGACUUAUGAUUCCAGCUGCCUGGAAUCCUGGUUUUGGAGCAGUAACUGCUUUAUUGAGCAGUUCAGCAUCAAGGGGAAGGAAAAUCCCCGAGUGGCGUGUUGGAUCAGAUAAGGGCUCCUGAGAAUUCCUGGGAAGGAAGGAGCCAGGGAUACUUGGGUUGGGCAGAGCUGCAAAAUCGUGUUCCAGGUUUGCAGCAGCUGCACACAGGGAGCCUGCAGUCACUGUGGGAUCCAGGAUGAAAUGAGCCCUGCCUUCCCUCAUGCUUCCUCAAGUAAUUAUCACACGCAUUGCACCCUAAUGAGAACCUGCUCUAUUUUCUCAUCCCUCCUCUCUGUGGCUCUUCCCUCAUGGCUGCUCCUUCAGAGCUCUUCUUUAGGAACCCAUCUGCUAAAGGGCUUGUAUUUCAUUUUUAACAGGAGAAAUCAUUGGACGUGAGUAGUUUCUCUGUGCGUUAUUAUGCUUAUAAUCCUGUAAUUUGGUAAUAAGGCUCUAAUCACAGCCGUGCAGCGGGAGCAGCAGGGCCAGCCCGGAAAACUGCCCCUCGGGGAUUCCCAGGCACAGCAGCCAGAGCAUUCCCAGAUGGACCAUGGAUUCCAUGGCUGGAAAGGCAGGGAGCGGAUGGACCUUCCAGCAUUCCCCGAGAUGUGAAACCAGAGUCAAACACAGGUCACGGGUGAGAAACCCUGAAACAAAGACUGUGGGCAGUGGCAGACCCUGACUCCAGACCCUGUGCCAGGCCUGGGGGUGGUGAGACCUGCAGCAUCUGUGUGCACUUGUGUGUGCACAGAAUGAGGAGGGGAAAAGGAAACCUUGGGAGAAAUGUGUCUAUAAAUAACAAUUUAGCUCCACAGCCCCUUCCCUCCCCAGAAAGGCAAGAAAAAACAGUAAGUUGCGAGGUCCCUUUGCUGAGGAUACUUCCUGCUCAGGGGCCUUUUGCAAGGCUGUCUCUUGUGCAGGUGAGUUCCCAGGAUGCAGAGGAAGGUGUGAGUUGUGAGUGAGGCCCUUCCAGCCAUGAAUCACAACCUGCUGCUCUCGGGGCUGCUGCUCAGCCCAUUCCCACAACAGAGUUCUCCCACUUCCAACACUGUAAAGAGGGAAAUCAGUGCAAAUAUGCAGCUUGUUGAGUGUAUCAUGUGGUGCUGAGCCACACCUUUAUAAAAAAAACAACAGGGAGUUCCAGAUUAUUAGAUUGGAAAGAUGAGAGGAGCUAAUUGGGUUCUGCAGAGCCAGGCUGUCCGGGCAGGAAGUCCGUCCAUGCCGGGGGUGGUGGCUGGUCAGGCAACUGGUCAUUCCCACCCUCUGCAUCCUGGGAAAGGCCUUCCCAUCGUGCCACCCUUCCAGAUUGCAAGGUGGUGGCUAGAGGUACCUUACCCUCAGCACAGCUAAGCCCUGAGUAAACCCCUGGUAAGCACUGUGGAAAGGAGAUUGGAGCAGGUCUGUCUUAGGUUAGAAAUGGAUUAUAUUCCAAAUAACCCUGUAAACUCAGUCCCAGGGUAGGAGAGGUGCAUGGCAGAGGUUCCCUGGGGCCGAAAUGUCAGCCCUGAUGGGCAAACUGGAAUCAGGGAUGUCUUUACUCAGCACAGCUGGCUCAGAGAUCCAGGGAAAGCCCUGAGCCUUGAGAACCAAGGGACUAGAAAUGCAGAACAGGGCAAGAUGAAAAUGAGACAAAGUCAUCACUUCCCAAAACCUUCACAGUGAAGGAAACACCUCCCACUGUCUGGAGGAUCCAUGGGAAUAUUACAAUAUUUGUUCCAAAAACAUGACUGGGUGGAUACAGACUCACUGACGCAGACACAAGCAGCUAAUUGAAUUCAUACGUAGGAACCCUGGACACCAUCUGGCCUCAAUAAAACGUGGGUCCGGAGCUGUUCCUUAGCAGAUGGUUAUUCCUUUUCAUAAUCUGAAAUCAAAAGAUCAUUUUUCUAUCUGGAGAUCAAAGGCACUUAAUGUCUCCUUGGUCGAGGUUUAUGAAGCGAAACCUCUGUCCUCUGUUUUGGUGUUCUGUGAGAGGCAGAUGGGGGUUUUCCCCUGAAACCUCUGCACAGGCUCCAGGCAACCACAUCUGGGCAGCAGCUGCAGAUGUUCACAGCUUUCCAGGGCUGGGACUUUAUUUCCAUCCCACGGACAUGCAGUUUAUAAAAUGAGAAGGGACAGUUGUAAUGAGCUUGUGUGGCCGUUUCUAUUUCCCCAGAUGAUUGAGAUAUAGCCCACAUGGAUAUUUUGGGAUGAAAUUAUUCCUUUUCCCUUAGAAGAAGUGCUCAGAGCCCUGUCUGACCUGUCAGACCCCACACUCAGCCCCGCAGAGCAGCUGUGUGAGGCCAACACGGUGCCUACUCUGGUGGGAUUCUUGGGGUGUCCUCCUGUGCAGGGCCAGGAGCUGGACGGGAUGAUCCUUGUGGGUCCCUUCCAACUCAGGCUAUUCUACAGUUUUGUGAUCCCCAUGGGAGACAACUCUGUGGAGGCAAGUUUGGAGAGAAGGAGGCUCAGGGGGGACCUUCUCAUUCUCAGUAACUCCCUGACAGGAGGGUGGAGCCAGGGGGGCGUCGGCCUGUUUUCCCAGGAACUAGUGACAGGAUGAGAGGACGUGGCCUCAAGCUGUGCCAGGGGAGGGUCAGGCUGGACAUCAGGAAGAAUUUCUUCCUGGAAAAGGCUGUCAGGCAGUGGAAGGGGCUGCCCAGGGAGGUGGUGGAGUCCCCAUCUCUGGAGGUGCCAAAGGAAGGACUGGAUGUGGCAGUCAGUGCUCUGGGCUGGGGCACAAGGUGGAGACCGGGCACAGGGUGAUCGUAAUGAUCUUGAAGGUCUUUUCCAGCCUCAGUGACUGUGGGAUUCUGUGAGUCUCGGGCUCUCCCGGCUGGUGAGAGCGGGUGGGCGAGCACUCUCCUCCAGCGACGUCAGCGCCGCUCCGCCGGCACCAGCGCUGGGGAGGGGGCGAGAGGCGCUGCUCUGGAAAGUACUUCCACACCCACCACGAACCCUCUGGGAUAGACGUGAUCUUUGCCACCUAAGAACGAAAGCUGAAUUUGCAGCAGCAGUAAUGCCCAAGCCACAUCUGGCUCAUGAUGCACAUGGGAUCAGACCGGGACUUUGGGAGGAGGAGGAUCUGGAUUCAGAGAUAUGAAAGGCGAAGCAGAGACAUCUGAUGGGGCUCCAGCGCUGACUCACUGUUUGAUGUGAGGCAGGAGGAGAGAUGUGAUCAGAUCCCUCUGUGCAGAGCAGCCACCAGACAACGCGUCACCGGGCAAAGAGACUCCUGCUCCUCCCAGCCCCUCAAACAGUGGAUCAGCCCUCACCAUCCCCUGCUCCUCCUGAGCUCUGCAGAGACCACCCAGCCAGCGCAGCACCUGGAUGUCACCUCUGAAAUGGCUCUUAGGUUGUGGACUCCCCAUCCCUGGGAGUGUCCAAGGCCAGGUUGGAUGGGGCUUGGAGCAACCUGGGCUAGUGGAAGGUCUCCCUGCCCAUGGCAGGGGGUUGGAGCUGGAUAACCUUUAAGGUCCCUUCCAGCCCCCCAUUCCCCAUUCCCUGUCCAGGCCGUGUGCAGAUGGAGGCUGGGCCGUGCUCGGUGCCGGCGCAGCCCCGGGGUGUGCCGGGUGUGCUCGCCCGGGGUUCUUUCUCACGAGAUGGUGCAACCAGCCAGCAGGGAACUGGUUAAACAGCGUGAGCUCCCGGCUGCCCGGGCUUGGCAGGGCAGGAUGUCACCAGGAAGCCGGCAUGUUUUAUUAAACACAGUAUCAAAGUGG